rnacentral:rRNA from 1 species
UACGAAGGGGGCUAGCGUUGUUCGGAAUCACUGGGCGUAAGGCGCACGUAGGCGGAUUCUUAAGUCAGGGGUGAAAUCCCGAGGCUCAACCUCGGAACCGCCUUUGAUACUGGGGAUCUCGAGUCCGGGAGAGGUGAGUGGAAUUGCGAGUGUAGAGGUGAAAUUCGUAGAUAUUCGCAAGAACACCAGUGGCGAAGGCGGCUCACUGGCCCGGAACUGACGCUGAGGUGCGAAAGCGUGGGGAGCAAACAGG